CGUGGGUAAUCUGCCCAAGACACAGGAAUAACCGGUGGAAACGCCGGCUAAUGCCUGAUGAUGUGCCGGCCUUUCGGGGCUUGUACCAAAGGUAGCUUCGGCCUCCGGUCUUGGAUGAGCCCGCGUCCCAUUAGCUUGUUGGUGAGGUAACGGCUCACCAAGGCGACGAUGGGUAGCUGGUCUGAGAGGACGAUCAGCCACACUGGGACUGAGACACGGCCCAG
rnacentral:rRNA from 1 species